rnacentral:rRNA from 1 species
GGAUUAGAUACCCUGGUAGUCCACGCCCUAAACGAUGUCUACUAGUUGUUGGGUCUUAAUUGACUUAGUAACGCAGCUAACGCGUGAAGUAGACCGCCUGGGGAGUACGGUCGCAAGAUUAAAACUCAAAGGAAUUGACGGGGACCCGCACAAGCGGUGGAUGAUGUGGAUUAAUUCGAUGCAACGCGAAAAACCUUACCUACCCUUGACAUGUACAGAAUGCCGAAGAGAUUUGGCGGUGCUCGCAAGAGAACUGUAACACAGGUGCUGCAUGGCUGUCGUCAGCUCGUGCCG